AGAACUUGCACAAUUGGUGGCUGACUAAAUACUUUUUUGCCCCACUGUAAGUAGUUUUUUGGGGUAUCUGUACUUUACUAUUUAUAUUUUGCCUACUUUUACUUGACUACAUUCCUGAAGAAAAUGAUGUACUUUUUACUCCAUACAUUUUCCCUGACACCCAAAUAAUUUGUUAUGCUUAGUAGGACAGGAAAAGGGUCAAAUGAAUGCACUAAUCAAGAGAACAUCCCUGGUCAUCACUACUGCCUCUGAUCUGGAGGAGUCACGAAACACAAAUGCUUUGUUUGUAAGUCAUGUGAGUGUUGUAGUGUGCCCUUGGCUAUCCAUAAAUUAAAAAGAUUUGCUUAAUGUAAGGAAUUUGAAAUGAUUUAUACUUUUACGUUUAACUAAGUAUAUUUUAGCAAUUACAUUUACUUUUGAUACUUAAGUAUAUUUAAAACCAAAUACUUUUAGACUUACUCAAGUAGUAUUUUACUGGGUGACUUUCAUUUUUACUUGAGUCAUUUUCUGUUAAGGUAUCUUUACUUUUACUCAAGUAUGCUCAUAUCUCACCCUCCACUCCCCACUCCCUCCCACUGGCAUAUGGUUUUCUUCCACUGUUUGGUUCUCUUCUUUGUGUUGUAUCCUGACUAUACCGUCACUGUGCUGUGUAAUGUUUCCCUCUGCUGGACAACACACACACCAAAACGCUCAUAAGAAAACAUACAUUUAAUAUUGACAAACUAAAACAACCAAAAUACACACACUUUUGGAUGUACAUACACAUACUCACCCAACGAAACAAACACACACACUCACUUACCUCUCCUAAUCUCUAGGCUAUACCUCCCCUCUUUUCCACUUUCUUACACUUAAACCUAUUUGUAUGGUUUUGUAAAUAGUUAUUUUUUGUAAUGAGAAUGUGAUUUUUACACAGACACCCCACUGCUCUCCUUACAUUAAGUUGUUAUGGAGAAAUGGGAACAUUAAUCGUAUCAACUGUAUUACUAAAGACAAGAGUGUAUGUAAAGGUCCUGGUCCACUCUAAAUCAGGCCUGGAUUGGCCCUCUCCUCGUCCCAAACUGGCAGCCAUUCUGCAUCAAACCAGGUGCCCUUCUGGACCAAGGUUGGAGUCAACCAAAGAUGACUCGUGGUUUUAUGCUAACAAUAGAAUCCCCUCAUGGUUUAGUUUCUCUUGUAAUAGUUCACCUGCCAGCCCAUAUUGGGCCAGUAACCAAAAUGUUGCUGGAUCGAAUCCCCGAGCUGACAAAGUAAAAAUCUGUGGUUCUGCCGCUGAGCAAGGCAGUUAACCCACUCUUCCCCGGGCAACGAUGACAUCGAUUAAGGCAACCCCCCCCGUGCCUCUCUGAUUCAGAGGGGUUGGGUUGAAUGCAUUCAGUUGUACAGCUGACUAGGUAUCCCCCUGUGAAUGCAUUCAGCAGUACAGCUGACUAGGGGUCCCCCUGUGAAUGCAUUCAGCAGUACAGCUGACUAGGGGUCCCCCUGUGAAUGCAUUCAGCAGUACAGCUGACUAGGGGUCCCCCUGUGAAUGCAUUCAGCAGUACAGCUGACUAGGGGUCCCCCUGUGAAUGCAUUCAGCAGUACAGCUGACUAGGGGUCCCCCUGUGAAUGCAUUCAGCAGUACAGCUGACUAAGGGUCCCCCUGUGAAUGCAUUCAACAGUACAGCUGACUAGGUGUCCCCCUGUGAAUACAUUCAGCAGUACAGCUGACUAAGUAUCCCCCUGUGAAUACAUUCAGCAGUACAGCUGACUAGGUAUCCCCCUGUGAAUGCAUUCAGCAGUACAGCUGACUAAGUAUCCCCCUGUGAAUACAUUCAGCAGUACAGCUGACUAAGUAUCCCCCUGUGAAUACAUUCAGCAGUACAGCUGACUAGGUAUCCUCCUUUCCCUAUACACCAAAGUCAGUGAAUUAGGACAAAGUGCACUGUAUACUACUAUCACAAUCUUGAGGGGUCUGUUGCUUUUACAUUUUAAGUCAUUUAGCAGACGCUUUUAUCCAGAGCGACUUACAGAAGCAAUUGUGGUUAAGUGCCUUGGUCUAGGGCACCUUGUCAUCUCGGGGAUUCGAACCAGUGACCUUUCAGUUACUGGCCCAGCGCUCUUAACUGCUAGGCCAAAACUGACAGCAGCUACAAAAUACUACACAGAUGGCUUGACUAUGUUUGGGUCAGAAUGUGUGUUCCUUGGUGCACAUACAAAUACAUCUGCAGUUUGAUUUAGUUCUAUUUUAAAAUAAUAAGACGAUAAAUAAUGCAGUAACAAAAGAAAAGUGUUCUGAGUUUUAACACUUCAUUUCAUCUUGUUACAACGUACCCUCUGUUUUGUAAAGAUUUGUCUGAUGAGAACAAUAAAUGGAUAUUGCAAUAAAAAGGA
ensembl:lncRNA